CUGGGUUAUAUUACCAAACACAUUGUUCUUUAAUGUUUCAUAGACUUAAGUGCAUCAUUGUAUUACCAUCAUUUUGCAGACCGAUACUGUUGUCCUCUAUGUGUGUCCACUUCUGUUUUCUCGUGGAAGGUAACUCUGGCUGGGUCUUGAAUUUCAUUCCUUUCAUGUAGCUGGUGUUUUGAACUGCUGAAGAGGUACUAAACGAUGAGACUUUUUAGUUAUAUUCUAGAAUAUACUUACAUUGUUUUAACUUUUAAGAAUUAUCUUAUUCUUCAAAUUUGGGCCUUUGGCGAGGACGGUAGGGGAUAAGGGGCAAGAUUGUAAUGAUAUUGAGUCAUGCUAAGUGUGUUGAAUUCUACAUUGAAAGUCUACAUGUGAGGUCUUGGGAUAUAAUUGGGGACUAUGAACCCAAUUGAUAUCAUAGGUUGGCCCUUUUAUGUGAGAAUCAAGGUUGUUGUUAUUAUUAAACACCACUCUAUGCGUGUUUGUGCUUUAUGUUUAGUUUAGUUUAUGUUUUUGUCUACUUCCCUCUCCACCUGCCAGAUGGGAACACAUGAGGGAGGGUGUUAGCUUAUUUACAUUGAUGGACUCAUUCUGAAUAGUUUAAGAUUUUUGGACAAUUGGUUAUCUAGCAAAAUGUAACCAAUCCAUAGUCCAUUGGUAAAGUUUGUAGCAUCUUGCAGAUAGGUGUCAAAGACUUAACUGUUCAGUGCAAGCCACAAUUAAAGCCUGAAUUGACGCAUUUACAUAUUAUCAUUCUAGCAUAAUUUCCAGCUACUUGGGAAAAAAGGCAUUAAAAUGGAAUUUAUGGAAGUACUCUAAUGCAAUUAAAGGAGAGAUAGCGAAUAUCUUUUGAUUCCAUAUGCAUAGCCGUGGCAUCUCAAGCUUCUUCAGCUAAUAUAAAGAGGAAAACGGAGAAACAUGUUGAUGAUGGUGGUGGUGAUAUAGUUGAAGCAGUACCAAACCUGAAGUUGCUUCAGCAUCAUCAUUGGGAGGUGCUAGUGAGUAUGACAAUUCAACUCCAUUGGUCCAGUGCAAGACAGUGGGGAUGUUAAUGACAGUGCAGAUGCAGCAAAGUUGAUUGAAAAUAUGGGGUUGAGUGAGGAGGUAAAUGGUUCAUCAGAAUAUGGAGGCGAAGAUAAGAAUGGGACGACUUUCAAUGACACUGAUCGAGCCGACACUGAUGACAACGGCGAUAAUAAACCAGAGCAUCCCGGUGAAGUGUCAAAAUACGAAAGAAAUAUGGAACUUCUUAACAUCAUGACACACUCCAUUUUUUUGAGUUUUCUGUUAGGAGCGCUCUCUCUCUCUCUCAUGUGUAUUGUGUAGAAUAUAUGUACAGAAAUUUCUUAGCUUAGUUUGCAUGUCAGGGUUGAUCUGUUAUCUAGUUACAGCAUAGCCUAGUUGAUUUUGUGUAGUAUCACCAGAUGGUGCAUUUUUCGACUCUCAUUCAUAACCGUAUCUCAUUUUUUGUGCCAGUUGGACUUCAUUUCUAUUUUUUUUAAUGGAUGAAAUCGACAGCAUUGGAUUUGCUUGAAUGGAAUUUGGAUCUGGUAAUGGUGAUAGUGAAGUGCAGGGGACGAUGCUGGAGCUUCUCAAUCAACUAGAUGGAUUAGAGCAUCUAACAAAAUCAAAGUACUGAUUUCAUUCUCUUAAACUAGCAACA